CCUACGGGUGGCUGCAGUGGGGAAUAUUGGACAAUGGGGGCAACCCUGAUCCAGCCAUGCCGCGUGAGUGAUGAAGGCCCUAGGGUUGUAAAGCUCUUUUGUGCGGGAAGAUAAUGACGGUACCGCAAGAAUAAGCCCCGGCUAACUUCGUGCCAGCAGCCGCGGUAAUACGAAGGGGGCUAGCGUUGCUCGGAAUCACUGGGCGUAAAGGGUGCGUAGGCGGGUCUUUAAGUCAGGGGUGAAAUCCUGGAGCUCAACUCCAGAACUGCCUUUGAUACUGAGGAUCUUGAGUCCGGAAGAGGUGAGUGGAACUGCGAGUGUAGAGGUGAAAUUCGUAGAUAUUCGCAAGAACACCAGUGGCGAAGGCGGCUCACUGGUCCGGUACUGACGCUGAGGCACGAAAGCGUGGGGAGCAAACAGGAUUAGAUACCCCAGUAGUC
rnacentral:rRNA from 1 species